rnacentral:rRNA from 1 species
CGGUAAUACCCGAUAAUCCCUCUUGGGCAAAGGCUUGCUGCCCCGGGAUCGGGCAAGGCGCUAUCAGCUUGUUGGUGAGGUAACGGCUCACCAAGCCUUAGACGGGUAGCGGGUGUGAGAGCAUGAUCCGCCGCAUCGGGACUGAGACACUGCCCGGACUCCUACGGGAGGCUGCAGCGACGAAUCUUCCGCAAUGCGCGAAAGCGUGACGGAGCAAUGCCGCGUGUGGGAUGAAGCAUCUCUGAGUGUAAACCACUGUCAGGGUUUAGGAAUAAUGACCAGACCCAAAGGAAGGGCCGGCUAACUUCGUGCCAGCAGCCGCGGUAAUACGAAGGGCCCAAGCGUUGAUCGGAAUUACUGGGCUUAAAGCGUACGCAGGCGGACCAGAAAGUACCUUGUGAAAUCCCUCGGCUCAACCGAGGAACUGCUUGGUAUACUGCAGAUCUUGAGAUCGGUAGGGGCCAUCGGAACGAUAGGUGGAGCGGUGAAAUGCGUAGAUAUCUAUUGGAACGCCAAUGGCGAAGGCAGAAAGCUGGGCCGAUUCUGACGCUGAGGCACGAAAGCGAGGGGAGCAAACGGGAUUAGAUACCCCGGUAGUCCACGCCCUAAACGAUGUGCACUAGGUCCGGGAGGUUUUGACGCCAUCCGGGCCGGAGCAAAAGUGAUAAGUGCACCGCCUGGGGAGUACGGUCGCAAGGCUAAAACUCAAAGGAAUUGACGGGGGCUCACACAAGCGGUGGAGCAUGUGGCUUAAUUCGAAGCAACGCGAAGAACCUUAUCCAGGGUUUGACAUGUAUGGAUUAGUCUGCCGAAAGGUGGGUAAGUUGCCCUCGUGGUGGAACGUACACAGGUGCUGCAUGGCUGUCGUCAGCUCGUGCUGUGAAGUGUCGGGUUAAGUCCCUUAACGAGCGCAACCCCUGUCGUUAGUUGCUAACAAGUAAUGUUGUGGCGGGGACUCUAACGAGACUGCCGGUGUUAAACCGGAGGAAGGUGGGGACGACGUCAAGUCCUCAUGGCCUUUAUGCCCAGGGCUGCACACGUGCUACAAUGGCGUGGACAAAGCGACGCGAUACCGCAAGGUGGAGCAAAUCGCAAAAAUCACGCCCCAGUUCGGAUUGUGGUCUGCAAUUCGACCACAUGAAGUUGGAAUCGCUAGUAAUCGCGUAUCAGCUAUGACGCGGUGAAUAAGUUCCUGAGCCUUGUACA